UACGGAGGGAGCUAGCGUUGUUCGGAAUUACUGGGCGUAAAGCGCACGUAGGCGGCUAUUCAAGUCGGGGGUGAAAGCCCGGGGCUCAACCCCGGAACUGCCCUCGAAACUAGAUAGCUAGAAUCUUGGAGAGGCGAGUGGAAUUCCGAGUGUAGAGGUGAAAAUUCGUAGAUAUUCGGAAGAACACCAGUGGCGAAGGCGACUGACUGGACAAGUAUUGACGCUGAGGUACGAAAGCGUGGGGAGCAAACAGG
rnacentral:rRNA from 1 species